rnacentral:lncRNA from 1 species
GGAAGCUGUGGAAAGGAAACAAGACUGAGAGGGAAGGGCCCAACUGGGAGUGGCAGUUGGGUCUUGUGACUAGCACUUCCUUCCUGCCGGGAGUGGCAGUUGGGUCUUGUGACUAGCACUUCCUUCCUGCCGGGAGUGGCAGUUGGGUCUUGUGACUAGCACUUCCUUCCUGCAGGCUUCCUGGUGUUGGAGGAGAGAGGAGCUUGUUCAGCCCAGUCUGGAGUGGCAUGCUCUUCUUGGUUCAGCCCAAAGACACAGGCUUCUGAAGUGGAAAGUAAUUGGUUUCCCCUGAGUGCGGUCUGCUUUAUUGACCACAACAGUAAGAUAUGACUGCAGUAAUAAGAAUGAAGCGAGAAAAUGAUUAGCAGUACUCUCCUGGCCCAUAGCAAGUGCUUUUAUGACACCUUCUCACCUCUUUUCAUCUGUUGAGUGAAAGAAAAGAAGUCCCUUGCAAAACAUGAAAACUUAAUGGCUACAAUUGGCCAGUAUCUUUGGGGAUAAUCCAGGAGCUUGGUUCUGUGAGAUAAAAGGACUCUUCCCACAUCUAGACUUAUGAAACUUCUUGAAAUCUGUUUGAUUCUCUUGUCUUCUCCUGUGGUUCCAGAUGAUGACAUUGAGACAUUUAGGGCUGCCAAACAAAGACUCUGCUGCUUGCUGCUAAUUCCCAAAGAUGAGCUUCCUCUUACUUAGCUCUGUCAAAGACAACUACUUGAAAUAAUGCUUCU